rnacentral:misc_RNA from 1 species
GGCAUCCCUUGUUGUGCUUUCCCAUUAAUGGCACAUUCUUUGCUUCAUCCUUAUCAGCUUGAGUACUGGAUGGACUGCUAGCAGUCUUUAGCCUGAAAGCAUUUGGAUUACGCCACAGAAUACUUUUAGCAGCUGAUCAUCGCAGAGCCUAAUUCUUAAUAUUAUUAUGACAAUCAGCACAGCUGCAUCCGUCACAGUAUGAUCCAGACGCAUGCAUUCACAGUACCUGCACAUUUGUACAUAAGAAUUUUCUAACUAAUGAGAUCCAGAAAAUACAAUUUGCCCCAAUAACUCAGAAUUCCAUUCCCACUCAGAUAGAUGUAUGCAUUGGAAAAAAAACACCUUUUUUUUCUUUUUUUUGGAAGAAACGGCUUCUGGACAGUUACAAAGAACCCUACUAGGCUUCAAAUACAUUUAAGUUCUGCACUAACAGCUUUAAGCACUUUGAUUGCUUGCAAUGGCAUUGUCUACGACCGUUUGGAGUACGCUUGCUUGUUUUGGUGCGUGCCGGUGGCGGCAAUCUUGAAGACGUUGCCUUCCUCGCAUUGCAUAAAAUGAAGAACGGGGAGGCAAAUGUUGAUCUGCCGGCGAGUGUGAGUCCUCCGGCAGUGGCGGCUGCGUUGUGUUGACCAAGGGCGACAAGCCGAACUCAGUGAAAACUAGCCGCCUAGCCAGCUUCUUUGGUGUGAAAUUCAAUGUCUCCGUAACUGCAACUAUCGUUCUUUCAGCUGAUGUAGCGUUUUACGCGGGAAAUCCGACGUCACAUUAACUGCAUCUAUCGUUUUAGGCUCAAGUGUUCGUCGGUGGGAAAUCUCCAUUCUAAAUUUCUCCAGCAGUACUUCAAAUCACAAGAUAGAGAUAGGAAAAGGGGAAAAAGUGAAGAUUCAGUUAAAUUUUAAAAAGUUAAGGGAAGGGAGACAUCUAAACCCGGUUGGUUUGCCGAGAAAGUGUGAGAAACGAAAAAGAAAAUGUAAAAGCUGAAAAUCCUCAAGGCUUGCAAUCACCGAAAACAAGAGUUCUACAGAGUUGUUAAAAAGUUUGGGUCUCGUGCGAGCAGAAAUGCAAAACUAACGUGAAACUUGAAAAUUCCAAAACAAAAUUUGUUGUAGAUUCAUUUUCCUUCGUUUUCUUAGAGGCCAAUCAGAAAUUAAAAGCUCUCGAUUACGUAAAAACAAUUAAAAAAAAA